GAGACCUCAAGGGUCAUCAAGCUCCAGCCCCCUUGCCGCAUGCAGGGCUACUGACCUCCAUAUCUAAUACUAGACCAGGCUGCCCAGGGCCCCAUCCAACCUGGCCUUGAACACCUCCAGGGACGGGGCAUCCACAACAUCUCUGGAGAUGUUGGAGUCCUCAUGAAUCUCCAACUCAUGAGUCUCCUCCUCAUCUGGAGUCCUGUGUCCAGAAUUGUUUUAUCUUCUGAGACCACUGAGGAAAGGGGAAGAAGACUUGCGUCUGGAUACUCUGUUUGGAAAUGCAGUAUUGUCAGAAGUACAGAAAGAAGUAUGGAAAUUUUGAGAACCUGGACCCUAUUCAGAUCACACAGACUUUGUGUAUCUAUUUGCUGCUGAAGGCCUACCAGAUGCUAGAUAGAGUGCUGCUAGAACUGAAGUUCAGGAAGAUAUUUAGGAAUCUCCUAGCAGCAAAUGCAAGUCUCACAGAUAUAGCUGCAUCAGUAGUCAACAAAAAGAACACUGAGAAGAUGCCACAUACCCUCUUCAUAAGAGCUUCCAGUUUUGAGUUCUUACCUCGGAAGUGCCAAUUCAAUGUGAAGCAUGUGAAAGAAAGGCUCAUUCCUGUGCUUAAUGAAUUCAUAGCUGUUUGAACCCUUUUUUGUUUUUGGCUCAAAGCUUGCUUUCUGAGGCAUUUCUUGUGAUAAGACUGACUUUUCUAGGAGAUGAGAGGUGGGUGUUGCUGUGUGGCAGUCAGCAUCACUGAGUGGAAAAUUUUAUAUUUGAAAGCAUUUCUUUGGAGCUGUUUGCCUUUAGAAGAGAGUUCUCAGCACUGUUUACUGGUGGAAGAUCUUGCUUGUGACCAAAUAACUCCAGCUUGCUAUGGGAGAUUGCGGAAUGAUACCAUUGUAUGCUCUGAAGACAAGAUACAAGUGGGUGCCUCCAUGCUCCCUCUUAUCUGCUGGCAAGGCCCAGAAGAUGGGAACAAGAAGAGUUCCUGCUGAGAUCCAAAAGCCAGAAGCUGUCACUCCAAAAGGAGCUGACCACUCUGGACUUAUAAAUGAGUUUGUACUGCCAUUGGAAAGUUUCUCCAUCGUCUUGUCGUCAUCAACUGAACAACAAUGCCCAAUGACCAUCCACUACUGAAGAUCAACAUCUGACCUACAAGCAAUGCUGGAAUCUGUGGUGGUGACUAUCUCCCUCUUGCUUCCUACAAAGACUCCUUGCUUUUGUUUCUUAUCUUUUCUAUCGCUCAUCUUCCCUUUCCCUAAAUGACUAGUAUUUGUAAUAAACUUGUCAGGCU
ensembl:lncRNA